CAGCCGCCGCGGUAAUACGUAGGUGGCAAGCGUUGUCCGGAAUUAUUGGGCGUAAAGCGCGCGCAGGUGGUUUAAUAAGUCUGAUGUGAAAGCCCACGGCUCAACCGUGGAGGGUCAUUGGAAACUGUUAAACUUGAGUGCAGGAGAGAAAAGUGGAAUUCCUAGUGUAGCGGUGAAACGCGUAGAGAUUAGGAGGAACACCAGUGGCGAAGGCGGCUUUUUGGCCUGUAACUGACACUGAGGCGCGAAAGCGUGGGGAGCAAACAGGAUUAGAUACCCCCGUAGUCCCUGUCUCUUAUAC
rnacentral:rRNA from 1 species